UACAGAGGGUGCGAGCGUUAAUCGGAAUUACUGGGCGUAAAGCGUGCGUAGACGGUAGCGUAAGUCAGAUGUGAAAGCCCCGGGCUCAACCUGGGAAUUGCAUUUGAGACUGCUCUGCUCGGGUGCGGAAGAGGGAAGCGGAAUUUCCGGUGUAGCGGUGAAGUGCGUAGAUAUCGGAAGGAACACCAGUGGCGAAAGCGGCUUCCUGGUCCGACACCGACGGUCAGGCACGAAAGCGUGGGGAGCAAACAGG
rnacentral:rRNA from 1 species